rnacentral:misc_RNA from 1 species
CUCUAACUUAAGACAUAUUACUACUAGAUUUCAGAUGGUUUAACUUAUGUUACAACCAAUCAUGAUGUGAAGAUGCGCUCCGAGAUUGAUUUGUGAACGAAGAUUCACAGAGCGAUAUUACAGAAAUUCUAAUAUUUACAACUCUACCAAUUCCAAAAGAAUGUGUGUGCCAUUUAUCUUGUAGUUCCAAAACCAGCUUCCAGUUUCCAUCAUAUUUGGUUCUAUGGGGUUGACCUGGACUUCCAAGCCUGAAUAUCCUGAUAUGAUCUUCAUUUUGUAGCCAUCUGGAACUUCAAAUACAUGAUUACCCUCUAGGAUAACAUUGUUGGCCUCAAAUUCUGCAUUCCCAUGCAGAAUAACUUUAAAUGCCUCAAAUCGUUGUACGCUAUGUUUCCAGUACACAUUUUCGC